rnacentral:rRNA from 1 species
GACGAACGCUGGCGGCGUGCUUAACACAUGCAAGUCGAACGGAAAGGCCCUGCUUUUGUGGGGUGCUCGAGUGGCGAACGGGUGAGUAACACGUGAGUAACCUGCCUUUGCCUUUGGGAUAACUUCAGGAAACUGGGGACAAUACCUGCUAGGAGCUCCUGCUGCAUGGUGGGGGGUGGAAAGUUACGGCGGUUGGGGAUGGUCGCGCGGCUUAUCAGCUUGUGGGUGGGGUAGUGGCGUACGAAGGCUUUGACGGGUAGCCGGCCUGGGAGGGUGACCGGCCACAUUGGGCUUGGGGUGCGACCCAGACUCCUACUUGCGGCAGCGGUGGGAGUCUUUGCACAAUGGGCGGAAGCCUUAUGCAGCAACGCCGCGUGCGGGAUGACGGCCUUCGGGUUGUAAACCGCUUUCGCCUGUGACGAAGCGUGAGUGACGGUAAUGGGUAAAGAAGCACCGGCUAACUACGUG